rnacentral:lncRNA from 1 species
CUAUUUACAUGGCAACGGAAGUCUAUUAAAAUGGCGGCGGAAGUCUUGGCAGCAUAACACUCUGGCUGGGCUCCACAACUCACAGGACUGGCAAGAUUACGGCCUAGCACGACGGAACAAGUGAACGACCUACAAAACUGGCAUGACACACCAGUCAGUACAUUGAAUGUACUUGCAAGACAACCAAAUACAUAGCAUCCAAACAAACAAGUGACAAGGCAAGAACCAAGCGUAAGCAACAACCUAACUCAUAUCAAAAACUAAGCAUGCAUAGUAUCAACCGAAGACAUAAAUCAGACUAACAUCAUGGCAUCCACUAGCAUGGCAACAAAAUGGCAUAGCAACUUUAUGGCCACAGCAAAACAUAGCAUAUCAUCUCAAUCAUAUCAAUCAAAGCAUGGCAUGGUCAUCAUGAAACUAUGCUGAAAAUUUACUACCAAUCAUAUCCAAUGCAGACAUAGCAUUUUAACUGUAUGAAACCAUCUCUAGUUCUACCAUAGUUCUUUAAAUGCAAACAUAUUACUCAUGCAAUGCCACCAAACUUGUGCACUGAGUCCCUCGGACUCUCUUACCAACGGUGAUCACCUCAUUUCCUGAUCACCAACAGAGACAAAUUUGUGAUUCUUACGGCGAUCACAACCCGACCACAUCUGGCCUGUGAUCCUUACGACGAUCACAACCCGACCACAUCUGGCCUAUGAUCCUUACGGUGAUCACAACCCGACCACAUCUGGCCCGUGAUCCUUAACCACAUUAACCAGCUUAAUUAUUUUAGGUUUAUCCUCCAUUUCGAUCAAGACCCGAUAGUGUACCCUACUACGAACUUAUGCCCAUGACCGAGGACACGGCUAUCGAUAGUUUAAAUACACUCUACAGAGGUUAGUACACUGUACCCACACCACGGAACCCAUGGCCUCACACUCCCAUUCGGGUGGACCAACGGCGUUCCGACAAAACCGACCUACUGCCAUGACACUCUCCCGACCACUCCGACUCACUCCCCUCUGGGCUGUCAUGGGUGGCCCCGUGUCUACCACAAGACACAAUGACCACCGUCGUGGCCAAAACAUGAACGAUCCCACACGGGGAUCCGCCGGCUAUAACAACUACGGGCACACAAGGCUUAUGUCCACCUACCUGAUCAGGGUAGCGCAUGCCCAUAACCUUCCCUCGUUGGAGGCACCGACCAGAGGCACGACAAUAGACCGCAUUAAGGCCGUCCCACACCGGCAAAUGUGGUUGCACUGGAAAAAGUUCGAUUUGGCGGCACUAUGAAUUGAUCCCAUCGAUGACGGAGGGGGUUUGUAACUAUUAAGUCAUUUUAAUUCCUUCUCCAUCAUCAUGCACAUGAAUGCAACAAUGAGCAUACCUCAUACAAAUGUUUUAACAAAGCAUCGAGCUUCUCAAGCGAACACUUACAGCAUCAUGACAAUACCAAGUACUAACAUAUCCACGGUGCAUUACCAUCAUCAUAGCAUUUUAUAACUAUGACAUGAAAAUAAAUUAGAGUAGUGACAUGGAAUAAUCAAUAACAACAGUCUAAUUAUCAUGGCAAGAAGUAGCAUGAAAACACAAGCAUGCAUGGUAAGCAUAAUGAAAUAACCGCAACGAAAACAAUAAGAAACAACUGCAACUACACACACACAAGGUGCAAGCAAAGUCAACAUGCAAGUUCGGGGCUCAUGAUAAGAGGUUGGCUUGCCUGGGGGUCGACAAAUACUCCGGGAAGAAGUGAGAAACGACCGCAGAAAAAUUUACCGGAAACAGUUCUCUCUCGGAGGGGGCUGUUUACGGACAAGGGCAAAAUGGUCAUUUUAACAGUGUCAAACCAUAGUGAAAAUGAUGGGAACGGAACGGGCUCGACGAGACGAAGACGUGGGCGUUGGAUUUACCUCAAUCGGAGUUACGA